rnacentral:misc_RNA from 1 species
CAAGGCCAGGAGGCAUUCGUCU